rnacentral:rRNA from 1 species
CAGCCGCCGCGGGAAUACGUAGGGUGCGAGCGUUAAUCGGAAUUACUGGGCGUAAAGCGUGCGCAGGCGGUUGUGUAAGACAGGUGUGAAAUCCCCGGGCUCAACCUGGGAAUGGCAGUGGAUACUGGCUCGCUAGAGUGUGUCAGAGGAUGGUGGAAUUCCCGGUGUAGCGGUGAAAUGCGUAGAGAUCGGGAGGAACAUCAGUGGCGAAGGCGGCCAUCUGGGACAACACUGACGCUGAGGCACGAAAGCGUGGGGAGCAAACAGGAUUAGAGACCCCCGUAGUCCCUGUCUCUUAUAC